ensembl:lncRNA
UACAGAUGCAUCUUGGGAUAGCCUCCCCUCCCCUCCCCUCCCAUCCCAUCCCCACGCCCAUAAUGGCUCUUGAUGUGCUCUGUGCUUUCAUCACCCUUUCUGCAUCUUUCAUCUCUGUGCCAUUAACCUCCAGCUCCCCCAGGUCUUCUCUUCUCGUCUCGCUCUCCCUCUUUCCACCCCCAGGUCUGGUCCUCUCUCCAGGGCCGGGGCUAAAGUAGGCCAGCGCUGCCCAGAGCCUCACCACCUACACCGAGCUCCCUCAGAAUGAGCCUCCACUCAAGACAUGCAUGGAGCUAGGAGUGCGUUACUAAUUCAUAGUGUUGCAUGCAGAAUCUGUGUCAAGCAUCUCUGUGUGUGUGUGUGUGUGAGAGUGUGUGAGUGUGUGAGUGUGUGCAGAAUAGAGGAGAAUCUGUGUCAGUCCAUGACAGUGCAUGUCAAACCAGACCUAAUGAUGGCAGAGGUAUGCUCUUAGCUAGCACUCCACACCUAGUUCUACCCACAGCUGCCAAUCGAGCUUUCAUCAAAGAAAAUGCAUAAAAAAAAAUAAAAAAUGUAAAUGUUAAGUGAAUACAACAAGAACACUUUGCAGUCAGACUGCAUUCAAGUCUAGCUGGAAAUAUGCAGGAGAUAAGUGAAGGACAGAAGGACUGCGUGGUUAUGGAUGUAAGUCUGGAGGUGAUAUGUUUCUACACAACAUCUGUGGUCAGAUAAAUUCAAGCAGUGAGGAAGCCCUGUCCUGUUACAGAAUCUCCUCCCUUUCGCUCUCCCUCUGUCUCUCUCUCUGUCUCUCUCUCUGUCUCUCUCUCUGUCUGUCUGUCUGUCUGUCUGUCUGUCUGUCUGUCUGUCUGUCUGUCUGUCUCUGUCUGUCUGUCUCUGUCUGUCUGUCUCUGUCUGUCUGUCUCUGUCUGUCUGUCUCUGUCUGUCUGUCUCUGUCUGUCUGUCUCUAUCUCUGUGACCAAAGACAGGACAUUUCCUGUCCUUGACUGACACUGCCUGAAUAGCUCAAAGAGCACAAAAGCGGCGCUCAACAGUAUGGAACUGGUGCAUGUGUUUUGUGUGUGUGUGUGAGAGACUCAGGGCAUUGACAGCACGGCUGCAUCACCCACACAAAGGCUUCAUUGAGCCUUUAGAGUCGGAUGAGGAGGAGAAGAUAAGGAAAAUAAAGGAAGAGAAAAAAACCAUAAGCAUGCAACUUGAAACAGGGGUCAGCGCUCUGAACGGGGAUGACCCUCAGCCCCCCCAUCCUCCUCUCA